UACGGAGGAUCCGAGCGUUAUCCGGAUUUAUUGGGUUUAAAGGGAGCGUAGAUGGGUUGUUAAGUCAGUUGUGAAAGUUUGCGGCUCAACCGUAAAAUUGCAAUUGAUACUGGCAGUCUUGAGUACAGUUGAGGUAGGCGGAAUUCGUGGUGUAGCGGUGAAAUGCUUAGAUAUCACGAAGAACUCCGAUUGCGAAGGCAGCUUACUAACCUGUAACUGACAUUGAUGCUCGAAAGUGUGGGUAUCAAACAGG
rnacentral:rRNA from 4 species